AAUCUUAAACAAACCUUAAUCUUAAUCAAAUUCUAGACCAAAUCCUAAUCAAAUCCUAGAUCUUAAAGAAACUCUUAACAAAUCCUAUAGCAAAUAGAAACUCAAAAAACUUAUAAUCAAAUUAUUAAUAUCAAUUCAAAAUUACAUACUUCUUAAUGUUUUAGUUGAAAAUAAGUAUAAGAAUGAUGAAAUCAAUUUCACUUACCAAUUGACAGAAAUAUAAGAUAAUAAAAUCAUAGGUAGCUUCCUAGUUCAAUCUAAAUGUUGAACUUCCAAUAUCAAUAUCUCCUUCAUGAACCAUUGAAUCACUCCCAAAUUUCAAUUACAAUGUUGAAAAUCGAAUCUACUAUCUACACAAAAAAAUUUCACUUAAAUCCAAUUGAUAGAUCACUAAAGAUCUAAGAAAUAUUCUUUAAUCCUCAAACUGUAAUUUCUAAGACCUCAAUCCAUGAAAACCUUAACACACUUCGAUCUAACUAUUUGAUUGCUUUCAAAAUUUGCACACACAUUCAAAAUUAACACACUAAUAUAUUAUCCAAAUUUCACUUGUACACACACCAUAGAACUCAAGAAAUCCUCAAACUCAUAAACAUAUUUUUAUUUCUUAAAAUCUAAUCCAAUUGAGAACAUUACUAAUUUUGAAAAUUCUUCAAAACCUCAAUAUUGAUUCAAUUGAUAUAAUA
rnacentral:lncRNA from 1 species